CUGAUCGGAUGUCCUUAGAGCGUCUGUAAAUAGAAAGACAGUAGCAAGAGGCUGAGGGAGGGACAGAGGAGGAGAGGCGGGGGAUAAUAAUGAUGAUGAUGAUGAUGAUGAUGAUGAUGAUGAUGAUGAGCCACAGUGACAGCAGCGUCUACUUCUGCCGCCUCUAUUGCGUCUGUCUGCAGUCAGGAAUUGACCGAGGACGCCGCGUCACUUUGACCCGACUGGGACAGUGAGAGACCGGCGUCAUUGAUCUGCUGAAGUCCUGCGAAACGGGCGCUGCGUGUCAGCGCGGGAACUUCUUUUUAAGACAAAAGUUUUUGCAUCGUUGUGGAGAAGGAGAAGUCCACGCUUGUUGGUUUGCUAGGGUUUUUGUUUUUGUUUUUGUUUUGUUUUGUUUGCUUCGGGAAUAUGAUCUGAGCCUGGAGGUGUAGCAGCCAAAUCCGUGGGGGAGAGACGUCAGAGAGGACCAGCGGACAUUACUUCCAAGAAAUUACUAAAGCAUUACUACAUAAUGGCUGGACACUUCAGUCGCUCCUGAAGCCUGAUGUGGCCGCUGCCCGGGUCGAGCAUGGAGCAUGAGCUGAGUACGGGUCUGUCUCUUUGGGCUAUCGCAGCCAUUGUUUGCAACUCCGUAGUGGGCCUGCUCAUCCUCAUCCUCUUCGUGGUCCUCUACAAAGCCUGCAAGGUGCCUUCACAUCAAGACAAAAUGCCAGUUUUUGCUGUCAGACUGGAUCAGACAAGGGCAGAGGAGAAGUACAUGCUGACUGCAGCCUGACCGAGGUCCUGAACAUGUCAACCCGAUGCAAGGACAAACGUCAAGUCACGAGGGUAGAGGUGGAGAAGUCUUCCCAGGCUUUUCUGUCUCCCCUCUCUCUCCAUUUGUGCUACAAAAACCGUGUAACAAUGCGCCACCAUCAUUCCCAUCUCGCCUGUGCCAUUUGGGGGAGCUCAGAGUAAGCAAACUGAGUUAAGAUUUGAGGCAAGACCAUAAGCAGCAACAACAAGCAAGGCCCAAAUCCUCUUAUCUCUGCUGUGCGUCGCUGGGACUGUCCAUCUGUCAGUCAGUUUGGCUCGCUCCACACAAGCAGAUCGCCAUCUCCUCCUCCUCCUCCUCCACCACGUCAGUCUUUUUCAUCUCGUCACGCAGGACGGCGGCGAGGAUGUGGAGGCGAAACAGCAAAAGUGCAAUGGAGUGGAAUAGAGGAGCCGGGGUUGAUAAGUCUGGCGGGUUGAAAAGCAGUGAAAUGUUUUUGAGAGCGAACGUUAAAAAUGUGACUCGUCCCCGAUCAGUUUUGCUGUAUGUUUUAGCUGCACCGCUAAUGAUGGAAGCAGCAGAGCAGCAAACGCACAACAGGUCGAGACCCACGGCUUAAAGCAGAAGACAGGGAGCGCAGAGACGUUACUGCAGGUCGUCUCUGAUCCACGACAGAUGGAGAUAAAGUUUGGUUUAUACUUUGGAGGAAAGGAGAUAAAAUUCAGGGGAAGAAUUGGAAAUAGGACACUUUGAUGUUUUGUUGACAGAAAAAGGAGCUCGAGGGCCCUGUUUGACAGUCUCUCCCUGAUCCAACCCCCACUGGAUUAAAAUCCUCUGCAGAAGUGCAACUUACAACACCGUUUCUUUUGUUCUGCCGUGCCUUCUUCUCUUUUUUUUUCCUCCUCAGCUCCAACGAAGGCGGAGGACUAUUCUUACAGACAGGCAUCAUCAGUGUUGACUGGGGGGAAAAAAA